GCUCCACCGCACCGGCAUCAAGAUCCUCCCCUGUCCGCCUGCAUCCACCGCCGGCCAUCCACCACGCACAACACUUCGGCAGUUCAAAAAUCACAGGUUAUCAUCAAUAUGAGUGAAUCUCAAAAGAAGGUGGGAAAGAAGAAGGAUAAGAAGUCCUGUGUAUCCGGAGUCAGAUUCUAUCAAAGUUGAUCUAGAAAAUGAUAGCUCAAUGAAUAUCGAUGUGGAAGAUGAUGAAGUUCACUCUGUGGAGGUAGAUGAUACAAACGAUAGUGAUGAUAACAAAUCAGGAGUAAAGAGACAACGAAAGGAAAGAUCUAUUGUGUGGCAAUACUUCACUAAACUUAAAAAGAAAGCAGUCGGUGGAAAAGUUCCAAGCAAGUGCAACAAAUGUAAUCAUGUUAUCAUAUAUGAUAGCAAGCAAGGUACGGGAAAUCAUUCGAAACACAUAAAAUCUUGCUAUGGUUCUAGUUUCAAAAAUGUUG
rnacentral:lncRNA from 1 species